rnacentral:rRNA from 1 species
AUACGUAGGUGGCAAGCGUUGUCCGGAAUUACUGGGUGUAAAGGGAGCGCAGGCGGGCGGGCAAGUCAGCUGUGAAAUCCAUGGGCUUAACCCGGGGGCUGCAGUUGAAACUGUAUGUCUUGAGUGAAGUAGAGGUAGGCGGAAUUCCGAGUGGAGCGGGAAAAUGCGUAGAUAUUCGGAGGAACACCGGUGGCGAAGGCGGCCUACUGGGCUUUAACUGACGCUGAGGCUCGAAAGUGUGGGGAGCAAACAGGAUUAGAUACCCUGGUAGUCCACACUGUAAACGAUGAUUGCUAGGUGUGGGGGGUCUGACCCCUUCCGUGCCGCAGUUAACGCAAUAAGCAAUCCACCUGGGGAGUACGGCCGCAAGGCUAAAACUCAAAUGAAUUGACGGGG